rnacentral:rRNA from 1 species
AGCGAACGCUGGCGGCAGGCUUAACACAUGCAAGUCGAGCGCCCCGCACGGGGAGCGGCAGACGGGAGAGUAACACGUGGGAACAUACCUUUUGGUUCGGAACAACUGAGGGAAACUUCAGCUAAUACCGGAUAAGCCCUUACGGGGAAAGAUUUAUCGCCGAAAGAUUGGCCCGCGUCUGAUUAGCUAGUUGGUGAGGUAACGGCUCACCAAGGCGACGGUCAGUAGCUGGUCUGAGAGGAUGAUCCGCCUCACUGGGGCUGGGACCCGGCCCAGACUCCUACGGGAGGCAGCAGUGGGGAAUAUUGGACAAUGGGGGCAACCCUGAUCCAGCCAUGCCGCGUGAGUGAUGAAGGCCUUAGGGUUGUAAAGCUCUUUUGCCCGGGAAGAUAAUGACGGUACCGGGAGAAUAAGCCCCGGCUAACUUCGUG